rnacentral:rRNA from 1 species
CAAUAGCGUAUAUUAAAGUUGUUGCAGUUAGAACGCUCGUAGUCGGAUUUCGGGGCGGGGCGACCGGUCUGCCGUUGGGUAUGCACUGGUCGGCGCGUCCUUCCUUCCGGAGACCGUGCCUACUCUUAACUGAGCGGGGGCGGGAGACGGAUCGUUUACUUUGAAAAAAUCAGAGUGUUCAAGCAGGCAGCUCGCUCUUGCAUGGAUUAGCAUGGGAUAAUGAAAUAGGACUUUGGUGCUAUUUUGUUGGUUUCGAACACCGAAGUAAUGAUUAAAAGGGGCAGUCAGGGGCACUCGUAUUCCGUCGAGAGAGGUGAAAUUCUCAGACCAAUGGAAGACGAACCACUGCGAAAGCAUUUGCCAGGGAUGUUUUCACUGAUCAAGAACGAAAGUUAGGGGAUCGAAGAUGUUCAGAUACCA